UCCUGUCCAACGUUAAUCGGGGCAGGGUGAGUCGACCCCUAAGGCGAGGCCGAAAGGCGUAGUCGAUGGGAAACGGGUUAAUAUUCCCGUACUUGGUGUUACUGCGAAGGGGGGACGGAGAAGGCUAUGUUGGCCGGGCGACGGUUGUCCCGGUUUAAGCGUGUAGGUGUGUGUUCCAGGUAAAUCCGGUUCACUUUAACACUGAGGCGUGAUGACGAGGCACUACGGUGCUGAAGCAACAAAUGCCCUGCUUCCAGGAAAAGCCUCUAAGCAUCAGGUAACAUCAAAUCGUACCCCAAACCGACACAGGUGGUCAGGUAGAGAAUACCAAGGCGCUUGAGAGAACUCGGGUGAAGGAACUAGGCAAAAUGGUGCCGUAACUUCGGGAGAAGGCACGCUGACAC
rnacentral:rRNA from 2 species